ensembl:snRNA U4 U4 spliceosomal RNA
AGCUUUGCGCAGUGGCAGUAUCGUAGCCUAUGAGGAUUAUCCGAGGCGCGAUUAUUGCUAGUUGAAAACUUUACCCAAUACCCCGCCUGGACGACUUGAAAUAUAGUCGGCUAAGGCAAUUUUUGACGGUCUCUACGGAGA